GACGAACCGUGCGAACGUUAUUCGGAAUCACUGGGCUUAAAGCGCGUGUAGGUGGGUUGCCACGUCGGAUGCUGAAAUCCCUCGGCUCAACCGAGGAACGGGCACCGAUACGAGCGACCUGGAGGGGGGUAGGGGGAGCUGGAACUUCCGGUGGAGCGGUGAAAUGCGUUGAGAUCGGAAGGAACGCCCGUGGCGAAAGCGAGCUCCUGGACCUUUUCUGACACUGAGACGCGAAAGCUAGGGGAGCGAACGG
rnacentral:rRNA from 1 species